GGGCGUGUGGUCUAGUGGUAUGAUUCUCGCUUUGGGUUAAUAGCCUAGCGAAGCUUCGAUAAACGGAGUUCUCACUACUGCAAAGCAUGCGAGAGGCCCUGGGUUCAAUUCCCAGCUCGCCCC
rfam:Kluyveromyces marxianus DMKT3-1042 DNA, complete genome, chromosome 1.